UACGUAGGGUGCGAGCGUUGUCCGGAUUUAUUGGGCGUAAAGAGCUCGUAGGCGGUUUGUCGCGUCGGCCGUGAAAUCUCCACGCUUAACGUGGAGCGUGCGGUCGAUACGGGCAAACUAGAGUAUUGCAGGGGAGACUGGAAUUCCUGGUGUAGCGGUGAAAUGCGCAGAUAUCAGGAGGAACACUGGUGGCGAAGGCGGGUCUCUGGGCAAUAACUGACGCUGAGGAGCGAAAGCGUGGGGAGCGAACAGG
rnacentral:rRNA from 1 species